GGGGCGUUAGCUCAAUAGGUAGAGCAGCUCCCUUUUAAGGAGAAGGUCACAGGUUCGAUUCCUGUACGCCCCA
rnacentral:tRNA from 1 species